AUACGGAGGAUGCGAGCGUUAUCCGGAUUUAUUGGGUUUAAAGGGUGCGUAGGCGGAUUGAUAAGUCAGUGGUGAAAGGCUGCAGCUUAACUGUAGACUUGCCGUUGAUACUGUCAGUCUUGAGUAUGGUCAAGGCAGGCGGAAUGUGUAAUGUAGCGGUGAAAUGCUUAGAUAUUACACAGAACACCGAUUGCGAAGGCAGCUUGCUGGGCCAUCACUGACGCUCAUGCACGAAAGCGUGGGGAUCGAACAGGAUUAGAUACCCUGGUAGUCCACGCCGUAAACGAUGAUCACUCGCUGUUGGCGAUACACAGUCAGCGGCUAAGCAAAAGCAUUAAGUGAUCCACCUGGGGAGUACGGCCGCAAGGCUGAA
rnacentral:rRNA from 1 species